UAUGAGACCUCAGCUCAGGCGGGGCUACC
rnacentral:rRNA from 1 species